GGAAAGAGAGAGAGAUGUGAGGAAAGAGAGAGAGAGAGAUAGAGAGAGAGAGAGAGGGAGUGUGUGUGUGUCUGCAUCCUUUCUCUACAAGAGAGGAUGGACCAGGUGUGUGUAGGUGUGUGUGUGUGUGUGAGUGUGAGUGUGUGUGGGUGAGUGUG